GACUUAAGCCAAUCUACCGUGUACCACGGAACAGAAGCUUUAGAUGAAGCUUCAUCUCAAGCCAUGGAGCAUAUUUUAGUAUGCGCCAUGCUAAAAACACAGGGUGUUACAGCAUUUCUUCAACCUGAACUUGAGGAGUUGGAAGGAGCUGAGUUGGAGGAAUAACUUCUACAACCUGUAGUCCAAUCUCAGGUUCAAAUCAAGGACAUGCAUGGAAGGCAUUGCUUGAUGCAGCUGGAGUGAUUAAAGAUUAACCAACUGAUGAAAACUUAAGGGAUUGAAUGGUUGGCUCCGUUGGUGUUUCUGCAGCAACUUGAGUUGGUGGAAGAACAAGAGGGCUUGUACGGUUAUACCCUUGAAAUCACACUCAAGAAAGAGGUUUUACCAUUAAUUGGCAGCCAUUAUGUCCCUUAGCAGCUGCAAGUUUUGUGUAAGUUUCUAUGUAGUUUCUUCUUAUAGUGAUUUUAAGUGAGAAUGAACUGAACUUAGGAACUUAGUAGGUUUCUAUGACUUCCCUCAUAAUUUGAUAUUUAAUAGAUUUGUUUUGGUACUUGAAAA